ensembl:snRNA U6 U6 spliceosomal RNA
GUGCUCACCUUAGCAGCACAUGUGCUAAAAUUGGAAAUAUGCAGAGCAGAUUAGCAUGGCUCCUGUGCCAGGAUGACACGAAUUUGUGAGGUAGUCUAUAUUUUA